AUUGAACGCUGGCGGCAUGCUUUACACAUGCAAGUCGAACGGCAGCGCGGGCUUCGGCCUGGCGGCGAGUGGCGAACGGGUGAGUAAUACAUCGGGACGUGCCCAGUAGUGGGGGAUAGCUCGGCGAAAGCCGGAUUAAUACCGCAUACGACCUGAGGGUGAAAGCGGGGGAUCUUCGGACCUCGCGCUAUUGGAGCGGCCGAUGGCAGAUUAGCUAGUUGGUGGGGUAAAGGCCUACCAAGGCGACGAUCUGUAGCUGGUCUGAGAGGACGACCAGCCACACUGGGACUGAGACACGGCCCAGACUCCUACGGGAGGCAGCAGUGGGGAAUUUUGGACAAUGGGCGAAAGCCUGAUCCAGCAAUGCCGCGUGUGUGAUGAAGGCCUUCGGGUUGUAAAGCACUUUUGGCGGGAACGAAAAGGACUGUGCCAAUACCACGGUUCGAUGACGGUACCCGAAGAAUAAGCACCGGCUAACUACGU
rnacentral:rRNA from 1 species